ensembl:lncRNA
CAUAAACUGAUCCAGCUGUCAUUGCUGUCUUAACGUCUCAGGUGAUUUAUUUCUCUUUGGAGCUAGAAGAGGGAAAGUUUACCCCGAAACUGAGAAUACUAGCCCAGUGACAAGAAUCAUUGUUUUGGAAAGGAAUCACAAAACUGUAAUGCAGAGGGAAAAGGACCCUCAUGUUAGCAGAGCAGUGGUUAAUGCAAAGGCAUGAACUCCCAAGAGCUUUGGUAGAAGAUGACGACUUUGAGAAGAAAUUCAGUCUGUGGAAGAUGCUGGAAAUGUUUGGUUUCCUUUCUGAUGAGAGCUUGCUUUUCUAUCCUGUUAAAACAUGAACCUCGAGGAGAAGACUUUACAGCAAGGGAGGGAGUUGGUUUACCUUUUCCCCCUGCUGAGCUGUUCUUCCAGUUUAUACCUGCUCAGUGUCAUUAUAGACUUGAGCUCUCACUACCAGUAACGCUUUUGGCAGAAGAGCCUGGUUCUGGCUGGAUAGAACUAGGAAGUACUUCUGCUACUGCUUCUGGGAAUGGCAGAUUUCUGUAUUUAUG